AUACAACUCAGGAUAAGAAAACAUAAUAUUAAAAAUCCAGAGAUGUGAAAGUUCCCCUUGAAGAAAUUCUUAAAGGUGUUCUCCAACCACCAUGACAACUUCAGAGAUGUGAAGUAGUCAUGGUGGUAGCAGUAUGUAUCUGGAGUGUUUCUGCUUGACACACUGCACAUACAGAGUUAUUGGCACUUUUGUGCUGGGGGUUGGUGCACCC